GGACAUGAUGGUGUUCCCUUUUUAUGGCUACACAGUAUUCCAUGGUGAAUAUGUACCACAUUUUCUUUAUCAAGUCUAUCACUAAUGGGCAUCUGGGUAGAUUCCACUUCUUUGCUAUUGUGAAUAGUGCUGCAAUGAACAUAUGUGUGCAUGUAUCGUUGUAAUAGAUUGAUUUAUAUUCCUUCAGGUACAUAUACAGUAACGGGAUAGCUGAAUCAAAUGGUAUUUCUGCCUUUAGGUCUUUGAGGACACUGUCUUCCACAAUGGUGGAAUUUACAUUCCCACCAACAGUGGAAAACCAUUCCUACUUCUCCACAGCCUCAUCAGCAUCUGUUGUUUCUUGGCUUCUUAAUAAUCACCAUUCUUACUGGCAUGAGAUGGUAUCUCACUGUGGUUUUGAUCUGCAUUUCUCUAAUGAUCAAUGAUGUUGAGUUUUUUUAGUAUAUCUUUUUGGCCACAUGUAUGUCUUCUAUUGAGAAGGGUCUGUUCAUGUCCUUUCCCCACUGUUUAGUGGGGUUGUUUUUUUCUUGUAAAUUUGUAUAAGUUCCUUAUAGACUCUAGAUUUUAGACCUUUGUCAGAUGGAGAUAUUGCAAAAAUUUUCUCCCAUACUGUAGGCUGCGCUGAUGAUAGUUUCUUCUGCUGUGCAGAAGCUCUUUAUUUUAAUUAGAUCCCAUUUGUCAAUUUUUGCUUUUGUUGCAAUUGCUUUUGGGGAUUUCAUCAUAAAAUCUUUGCCCAUGCCUAUGUUCUGAAUGCUAUUAGCUAGAUUUUCUUCCAGAGUUUUCACAGUUUCAUAGUUUAAGUCUUUAAUCCAUCUUGAGUUAAUUUUUGUAUAAGGUGUAAGGAAGGGGUCUAGUUUCAAUUUUCUGCAAAUG
rnacentral:lncRNA from 10 species